UUGCUCCUCUGACGUUAGCGGCGGACGGGUGAGUAACACGUGGAUAACCUACCUAUAAGACUGGGAUAACUUCGGGAAACCGGAGCUAAUACCGGAUAAUAUAUUGAACCGCAUGGUUCAAUAGUGAAAGACGGUUUUGCUGUCACUUAUAGAUGGAUCCGCGCCGCAUUAGCUAGUUGGUAAGGUAACGGCUUACCAAGGCAACGAUGCGUAGCCGACCUGAGAGGGUGAUCGGCCACACUGGAACUGAGACACGGUCCAGACUCCUACGGGAGGCAGCAGUAGGGAAUCUUCCGCAAUGGGCGAAAGCCUGACGGAGCAACGCCGCGUGAGUGAUGAAGGUCUUCGGAUCGUAAAACUCUGUUAUUAGGGAAGAACAAAUGUGUAAGUAACUAUGCACGUCUUGACGGUACCUAAUCAGAAAGCCACGGCUAACUACGUGCCAGCAGCCGCGGUAAUACGUAGGUGGCAAGCGUUAUCCGGAAUUAUUGGGCGUAAAGCGCGCGUAGGCGGUUUUUUAAGUCUGAUGUGAAAGCCCACGGCUCAACCGUGGAGGGUCAUUGGAAACUGGAAAACUUGAGUGCAGAAGAGGAAAGUGGAAUUCCAUGUGUAGCGGUGAAAUGCGCAGAGAUAUGGAGGAACACCAGUGGCGAAGGCGACUUUCUGGUCUGUAACUGACGCUGAUGUGCGUAAGCGUGG
rnacentral:rRNA from 1 species